CACAACUGCGACACUGUGAUCGGACCCCGGGGACACGACGCGGAGUGAAAUAAGCUGUCACGGAAGGACACGGAUCCCACCUAACAGGAGGAUGAGGUGUGCUGGCGAUGAGCCGGGAACCUGGGGCCAGGGAGUCCGGGCAUCACCCCGGCUCUACCUCCUGCCAGGUGUACGGUCUUGAAACGGAGUCGAGACCGAAAUACCCAGCUUCCCGGAUUCCUGCACCGAGGGCGGCAGGGCUGGGCGGCUCUGGGGAGCCUGAGAACCGCGCUGACAGGCAGCGUCACUCCCAGCCUGCGGUCCUCUUCCUUCUCUCCCCUUCCCUGGUCUUCCGGCAGCCGGAUGAGCUCCAACGUGAACUUGGGGGAUGCAGAGCGGGGGACAGGCGCCAUCUGGAGCCCCGAGAUGACCAGCCUGGGGACGGCAGGAGCCAAGUCCCCGGGGCCCCUGUCGUGGCCAUGUGGGCCCUGUAGCUUCUUAUGUAGGAAAGUUACUUGCGUUAUUCUAUUUUUAAAGCUGAUGUUUAAUUUAUUAAAAUUGUCUUUCUAAAAACAUAAUUCUGUAGCUUACAAAGCAUCUUAGUCUCUUUGUGAGUCUAGCAGAUUUGAACGUGUUCAAAUACACCCUCAAAUAUUUCAGCCGCCUUUCUACGUGUAAUAUAUCUGGUUUCCUUUUAAUGUCCUUAUUUGGCCAAAAAUAACGAAGAAAACCUCCUGAGCAGUCAAUAAUUCUGAUGAACUUCUAAAUAGGUUAAACCUAAUGUCGUAAGUGUUCAGACCCAAUACAGCAACUUUGCAAGAUUUCUAUGUGCAAGUCUAAACCGUAAAUCUUAAUCCACCUGUAACUACACAUUUUAAAAUGCAGUUUGGGGGCGGGGACAGGGAGUUCCUAAAAAGGGGCACAAGGUCCUUUUUGGGGUGAGGAAGCUGCUCUAAAAUUAGAUUGUGGCUGGAUCAGCACAGCUCUGAUUUCUAGAAAUCACUGCACUGUAUGUUUUAAAACAAGUGAAUUUCAUGGUGGGGAAAACGAGAUCUCAGUGGGGCUGUCCAAAAAGGAAAUGCAUACAUACGUCAGAGAGAGGAAAACAGCUGUAUAUUUUACCUGACUG